rnacentral:rRNA from 1 species
AACGAACGCUGGCGGCGUGCCUAACACAUGCAAGUCGAACGAGAAAGGGGCUUCGGCUCCGAGUAAAGUGGCGCACGGGUGAGUAACACGUAGGUAACCUGCCUCUAAGAUUGGGAUAACUCGUCGAAAGAUGAGCUAAUACCGAAUAAGACCACAGUUUCUGCGGGGACAGGGGUCAAAGGUAGCCUCUGCUUGCAAGCUAUCACUUAGAGAUGGGCCUGCGCACCAUUAGCUAGUUGGCAGGGUAACGGCCUACCAAGGCAAAGAUGGUUAGCUGGUCUGAGAGGAUGAUCAGCCACACUGGAACUGAGACACGGUCCAGACUCCUACGGGAGGCAGCAGUGGGGAAUAUUGCGCAAUGGGCGAAAGCCUGACGCAGCAACGCCGCGUGAGUGAUGAAGGCCUUCGGGUCGUAAAGCUCUGUCGGGAGGAACGAAUGCUCCUGAGGUAAACAGCCUCGGGAGGUGACGGUACCUUCAAAGGAAGCACCGGCUAACUCUGUGCCAGCCGCCGCCGUAAAAC